GACGAACGCUGGCGGCGUGCUUAACACAUGCAAGUCGAACGGAAAGGCCCUGCUUUUGUAGGGUGCUCGAGUGGCGAACGGGUGAGUAACACGUGAGUAACCUGCCCUUGACUUUGGGAUAACUUCAGGAAACUGGGGCUAAUACCGGAUAGGAGCUCCUGCUGCAUGGUGGGGGUUGGAAAGUUUCGGCGGUUGGGGAUGGACUCGCGGCUUAUCAGCUUGUUGGUGGGGUAGUGGCUUACCAAGGCUUUGUCGGGUAGCCGGCCUGAGAGGGUGACCGGCCACAUUGGGACUGAAAUACGACCCAGACUCCUACAGGAGGCAGCAGUGGGGAAUAUUGCAGAAUGGGCGGAAGCCUGAUGCAGCAACGCCGCGUGCGGGAUGACGGCCUUCGGGUUGUAAGCCGCUUUCGCCUGUGACGAAGCGUGAGUGACGGUAAUGGGUAAAGAAGCACCGGCUAACUACGUG
rnacentral:rRNA from 1 species